rnacentral:sRNA from 1 species
GCUGGAUGCAGUGGUGCACACCUGUAAUCCCAGCAGCUUGGGAGGCUGAGGCAGGAGGAUUGCAAGUUCAAAGCCAGCCUCAGCAAAAGUGAGGUGCUAAGCAACUCAGUGAGCCCCUGUCUCUA